rnacentral:lncRNA from 1 species
AGAACAAAAAUAAACGUCCUUCAAGGAGAAGGAAUCCUCCAAGAAAAGUUCAGUCAGAGGAUCAGGAGAGGAACAGCACAGAACAAAAUUCAGAAAAUGAUCAAGAACCUGAAGUUGAAUCUGAACCAAGUCAGGAGAUACGGACGAUUGUUAAAACAUAUAAGAAUCGACCAGUUCCACCACCAAAACCCAUCAAGCCUGUUAAAAAUAUCUCUAAACCCUUUGCAAAGAAGAAUGAUCCCAAGGAGGAAGCUCUGGCAAAGCUGGGCAUAGUUGGAUUACAUCACUCACCAGUAAGUGACAAU